AAUGUUUGUAAAAUCCCCUAUGGGAAAAAUUAUUGGAACCAUUUUCCUGAUUGACCGCAAGGUUUUAUGGGUAUUGUGACAUCUCCACUGUGGGGCUCUAUCAGACCUCCUAGCUAUUCACAAUGAAGCACUCCAAUAACCGAGAGAGAAUAUGCAAUGAGCUGAUCUCAUCCCAGCUGUGGUCUACGGUGAGUGGAGAUGGGCUACAGAGUGGAGUCCACAUAUAUUUUGACUGGCACACACGUUUUACCCUGUCAUGCCUUCAUCACGGUUCUCCCGUGACCGUGAAUGCAAGGAUCUUUUUUUUUAUCAGGUUAAAGAGGUCGAAAGGAUUUCUUUUUGUAUCAGGUUUAGGUGAUUUGGUUUUGGUAGCCUAAUUCUGCAGCAAUAACUCCGGAGGCGCUUUAACUUCCAAGACGCGCUGUGCGUUCCUCUUCCAAAGAUCAACAUGAUGUCUGCCAUAGAUACGGGUACAUCUGUGUACCAACCAGCACAACUACUGAACUGGAUCUAUAUGUCUCUACAAGACUCCCACCAGACCAAUGACUUCGAAGCGUUCAGACCGGAUUCUGAGAGUUCUCCACCGGACGAGAACAACUACAAACAGCGGUCCGCUGCUGCUGUCGACCUGAGCUCUGCGCUCAACUCAAACUAUCUUAACAAUUUCUUGCAACUUCAGAGAAAUGAGGCCUUAAACAACCAUUUGUAUAGAAGGUCCUCUCCUUACGGCUCACUCAGCAACAUCGUAGACGGCCUGAGUUCUCUGACGGACCACUUCUCUGACCUCUCCGUCUCCUCUGAGUCACGCAAACCCAGCAAGCGACCUCCGCCCAACUACCUGUGUCAUCUCUGCUUCAACAAAGGACACUACAUCAAAGACUGUCCUCAGGCUCGGCCGAAAGGGGAAGGCCAGACCCCAUAUCAGGGCAAGAAGAGAUGUUUCGGGGAAUACAAGUGCCCUAAAUGCAAGAGGAAGUGGAUGAGUGGGAACUCCUGGGCCAACAUGGGACAAGAAUGUAUCAAGUGCCACAUCAACGUUUACCCUCACAAGCAGAGACCUCUGGAGAAACCUGAUGGGUUAGAUGUUUCAGACCAGAGCAAGGAGCACCCACAGCACCUGUGUGAAAAAUGCAAGGUCCUCGGGUACUACUGUCGUCGCGUGCAAUAAUAACCUGUCGUUAUCUGGCCGCAAGUUCAUGGAGUUACCCUCUAGACACUGAUCUUGGAGACUGCUGUGGGUCAAAACCAUAUCUUCAGAGACUGCUGUGGGUCAGAACCAUAUCUUCAGAGACUGCUGUGGGUCAGAACCAUAUCUUCAGAGACUGCUGUGGGUCAGAACCAUAUCUUCCCAGACUGCUGUGGGUCAGAACCAUAUCUUCAGAGACUGCUGUGGGUCAGAACCAUAUCUUCAGAGACUGCUGUGGAUCAGAACCAUAUCUUCAGAGACUGCUGUGGGUCAGAACCAUAUCUUCAGAGACUGCUGUGGAUCAGAACCAUAUCUUCCCAGACUGCUGUGGGUCAGAACCAUAUCUUCAGAGACUGCUGUGGGUCAGAACCAUAUCUUCAGAGACUGCUGUGGGUCAAAACCAGGUCUUACGAGACUGCCUUGGGUCAAAACCAGAUCUUCAGAGACUGCUGUGGAUCAGAACCAUAUCUUCCCAGACUGCUGUGGGUCAGAACCAUAUCUUCAGAGACUGCUAUGGGUCAGAACCAUAUCUUAUGAGACUGAUGUGGUUCAAAAUAUUCAGUAUCAGUAGCUGAUGAAAGCACAUAUUGCAGUAUCGUAUACCCACUGUACACACAGUGCCUUCAGAAAUUAUUGAGACCCCUUGACUUUUUCCAUAUUUUGUUACAUUAGACUUAUUCUAAAAAUGGAUUUUAAAAAAUUACAUCCUCCGUAACUACACCAUAAUGACAAAGCAAAACAGGUUUAAUUUUUUUUCUUCAAAUGUAUUACAAAUAAAAUACAGAUACCUUUUUUAAAUAAGUAUUCAGACCCUUUGCUAUGUGACUCAGGUGCAUCCUGUUACUAUUGAUUAUCCUUGACAGGUUUCUACAACUUGACGUGUUGUAAAUUCAAUUGAUUGGACAUGAUUGGAAAAGGCACACACCUGUCUAUAUAAGG